AUUGAACGCUGGCGGAAUGCUUUACACAUGCAAGUCUAACGGCAGCACGGACUUCGGUCUGGUGGCGAGUGGCGAACGGGUGAGUAAUAUAUCGGAACGUGCCCAGUCGUGGGGGAUAACGUAGUGAAAAUUACGCUAAUACCGCAUACGAUCUAAGGAUGAAAGCGGGGGAUCGCAAGACCUCGCGCGAUUGGAGCGGCCGAUAUCAGAUUAGGUAGUUGGUGAGGUAAAGGCUCACCAAGCCAACGAUCUGUAGCUGGUCUGAGAGGACGACCAGCCACACUGGAACUGAGACACGGUCCAGACUCCUACGGGAGGCAGCAGUGGGGAAUUUUGGACAAUGGACGCAAGUCUGAUCCAGCCAUUCCGCGUGCAGGACGAAGGCCUUCGGGUUGUAAACUGCUUUUGUACAGAACGAAAAGGUCUCUAUUAAUACUAGGGGCUCAUGACGGUACUGUAAGAAUAAGCACCGGCUAACUACGUGCCAGCCGCCGCGGUAAUAC
rnacentral:rRNA from 1 species